rnacentral:lncRNA from 1 species
UGCAGGUAAUGCAGUUACCGCUUGACUGUAGCGACCAAUGAGCCUAUUCAGUAUACUAAGGUCCAUCUGAGGAAUACCCUUUUUCUCCAGCCGAAGCAAAAAACACAGCCAAUCUUCUGGAUUAUUUGUUGUCAUCAUUAUUCGAUUAACAGUUCCAGAGUUAUCUGUUGUAUCAGCUGAUAUUUUAGUACAGUUCAGUUCAUCUGUGAUAUUGUCUUCAUUCCUGUAUUUGUUUUUCAAGUCUCUAACUCUACUCAUGAUUGAAGCAAUUCGUGGCAAUCCUCUUUCACUUAGAUCCUCCUCCUCCUCCAUAUUUCUGAUAUGUGGCUUCUUAACUGACAAAGGUUCAAUAUAUACAAUAUGGAGAAAACUUCUGAAGAACUGAUAUGCUUCGUCAAAAAGUUGAAGUGGAUGAGGGUCAGAUUACUUCAGAUGAUCCCAAGAAUCCAGCAACGGCAAGAAAUGUAGUCCUUCAUCCUGAAGAAGUUCCGCAGCUCCAGCGCUCGCUGCUGCCCGCACGGGCCGGGACCAGGCCGCUCUCGGGCCGGACCAAACUAGGCCGCGUACCUCUCCGAGUUUGAAAAUCCCCCGCCCACCCAAAGCCAGCGCUGAUUGGCCGAG